GCUGGGUGCGGUGGUGCACGCCUGUAAUCCCAGAGGCUCAGGAGGCUGAGACAAGAUAAUUGAGAAUUCAAAGCCAGCCUCAGCAAAAGUGAGAUGCUAAGCAACUCAGUGAGAUCCUGUCUCUA
rnacentral:sRNA from 1 species